rnacentral:rRNA from 1 species
AUUGAACGCUGGCGGCAUGCCUUACACAUGCAAGUCGAACGGUAACGGGCCUUCGGGUGCCGACGAGUGGCGAACGGGUGAGUAAUACAUCGGAACGUGCCCGAUCGUGGGGGAUAACGAGGCGAAAGCUUUGCUAAUACCGCAUACGAUCUACGGAUGAAGUCAGGGGACCGCAAGGCCUUGCGCGGACGGAGCGGCCGAUGGCAGAUUAGGUAGUUGGUGGGAUAAAAGCUUACCAAGCCGACGAUCUGUAGCUGGUCUGAGAGGAUGAUCAGCCACACUGGGACUGAGACACGGCCCAGACUCCUACGGGAGGCAGCAGUGGGGAAUUUUGGACAAUGGGCGCAAGCCUGAUCCAGCCAUGCCGCGUGCAGGAUGAAGGCCUUCGGGUUGUAAACUGCUUUUGUACGGAACGAAAAGCCUUCUUUUAAUACAGGAGGGUCAUGACGGUACCGUAAGAAUAAGCACCGGCUAACUACGUG